rnacentral:rRNA from 1 species
UCAGACGAUGCGUCAUGCAUAUCAAUAAGCGGAGGAAAAGAAACUAACAAGGAUUCCCUCAGUAACGGCGAGUGAAGCGGGAAGAGCUCAAAUUUGAAAUCUUGAAAGGUUACCUUUCACGAAUUGUAGUUUAAAGAAGUGUUUUCUGUUACGAUCGUAAUAUAAGUUCUUUGGAAUAGGACAUCACAGAGGGUGAGAAUCCCGUCUAUGAUUGCGAUUUGUAGCUUUGUGAUACACUUUCAAAGAGUCGGGUUGUUUGGGAAUGCAGCCCAAAACGGGAGGUAAAUUUCUUCUAAGGCUAAAUAUUGGCGAGAGACCGAUAGCGAACAAGUACCGUGAGGGAAAGAUGAAAGGAACUUUGAAAAGAGAGUUAAAUAGUACGUGAAAUUGUCAAAAGGGAAGCGUUUAACACCAGUGUUGUUUUCUGAAAAUCAACCUCUGUUAGCUUUAUGCAUGGUUGUUUAGACCUAAUCAGCUAUCUUGCAUGUUCUAUUGUUUGCAGUGGUGCACUUUUCAGUUUACAGGUCAACAUCAGUUUUUUUUACCGUAAAAAAGUUAAAGAAAGGUAGCUCAUGGCUCCGGUCGUGAGUGUUAUAGUCUUUUUCCUAUGCGGUAGGAGAGACUGAGGUCUGCAGUGUAGGCUAUUUGGCUAGAUACUCAGGUGCUAUGUGAUACCAUUUCAUAAACAACUUGUUGAUUAUGUUUUGUCUAUUGCAUACUCGCUUGUACUAUCAUACCUACGCUUAGGAUGUUGAAGACUCUACAGAGAUA